UGUUUCCUUGUUUGCAUUUUUAGCGAGAUAAGGAGAGGAGAAGUUUCACAGAGGCUUAAUUCAGCUGCGGGGGAGUCUUCCUUUGUGUGCCAAGUCCUGGUGAUUCCUGGUGGGCACAGACACUCUGAAGACCUCUGCAGAAAUGCCACCUUUGCAGCUUGGCUUCCUCCUUGUGCUCAGUUGGCUGGGAGCUGGUGCAGCUCCUGCUGGGACAUACCUGGUAAGACAAACUCUGAGUUUGAAAUAUGUCUUUGCUUGCAAAGUAUGUUUGGGUUACUCGUCAGUGUGAUUCCUCCUGGUAGCAGUGCAGUGAUGGAAAUCAAUUGCCACAAACCAAUGUCUGCACUUUAUGAGGUGGGCUAACUGUCCUUCCUUGUCCCUCAGUGUUGGGUGUAGUGGGUGGGGAUGGUUUCUCCAGGUCUUUGCAGGACUUCAGUGCACACACAUCAUCAGGCAGUACAAGGAGGGUGACAUCCACUGACCACACUCAGAUCCUGGGAGCAGUCCAUCCCAUUGGUUCUAAUACCUGAGUGACUUUCCAGCUGGUUGGAGUACAGAGCCAAUACUGAUCUCAGUUUUGCAGAUGGAAGUUCCCAAGCAUAGCAGGGGAGAAGCCCUUGGUGUAGGUACUUGGGUGUUUCAAGCCAGAUUCAAGUAUGAAUUUGUUGUACGUCCAUACUUCUCUGUAUGAAAUGAUCACAAAUAACACUGUACUACCAUUGUAACUGCAGAAUGUGGUUCUCUCUUUUCUCUCUCUCUCCUUGCUCAGUGCUCCAGCCCCGCUCUCAAUGGUGAGUCUCCUACCCAGUAAUUUCCCUAAGAUUCAAAGGUGAUUCUUUAUACGUAUUCCUGUCACACUUCUUUUCUCUCUCUUUUUUGGGAAAACAGAAACUGCUGUGUGUGCUUCAGUGAGAAGGUACGUGAACCAUCAGCAAAUGAUUUUGGUGACGUUUCCCUUGGAAGUGCUGCUGUUCUGUUGGGGACGUUGCUUUGGGUGGUGGGCAGCCUCUGAAACCAGAGGUAGCACCUCUCUCCCUGCAGAGGUCUGGGGAUGCCUGUGGGCAGGGAGGGCCCUGGUUUUGCUCUGCUGAAUAGUGAAGGGAAAAUGGGACUCUGUGCUGUGCAAAGAAAGGGGUAAAUCCCUGGUGUGUCAGCCAGCCAGCCUGACAUGGGCAGGAUUUACUGCUCCAGGGAUCCUUGUGUUGGUGCUGAGCCUGGCUUAGCUGGUGAUGGGGGCCUGAAAUGCAUACAGUGCUUCAAGCCUUGCAUUCAUUUGAUUUCCACCUAAGGGUAAGCAGUUUAUAAGUACAUUCUUCCUGUGCCAGCAGAUAAUUCUCAUCAUUUGAGUUGUUUGUUUGCCCUUCUGCAUUUGUUAUUUGGGCUGUGUGAGCUGUGAGCAUCCUUUGAAAAAGAGGGAAGAUCAGAAUCACUGCCUAUCAGAUUGUCAGCUUCUCCUCCUGGUGUCCCACUUGCAGCCUCCCAGACAGAUUUAUUUGCUACCUGAGCCCCUCUACAGUGAGUAACCUGAGCAGGGAUGAUACUUUGAGCUUGGACCAGAGGAUCAGUAAGAGCUGCACCUUGAACACAACGCUUGGAAGAAUAAAAGGAAAAGGAGCUGCCUCCUCCCUGACA
rnacentral:lncRNA from 1 species